rnacentral:lncRNA from 1 species
UUUAAUGGAUUGUUAGGGUGAGAGAGAGAAAAAAAAAAUUAAGAAAAAAUUAAAUAUCUCAAUUUCUCUUCUUUUUUGAAUUUCUUCUUAAUUUCUUUUCUCUCUCUCAUUCUAAUCAUCCAUCAAAAUUGAUGGAUGGUUAGAAAGUUAGAAAUUUAAGAAUUAUUGUGCUCCUAAUAGUACAGUAGUCUUACUCUAUAUAGAGAGAGAGAGAGUGGAUAGAGUACUUUUUUUGUGCUUUCAAAAGUAAGGAAGCCUCCAUGCAUGUAUGUUUUCAAUAAUAGAAUAUUCGAUUCGAUGAUCAGCUCCAUUAAAUAUAAUCUAUGUUAUUAAAACUAUUUAAAAAAUAAAUUUCAUAAUUUUUGGACAUGCAACAUUUACCAAGUGAUCAAAAAAUCUAAAAAAUGACUAUUUUAACGGUCGAUGUGACAUGUUUUUAAGUUCAACGGUGUAAAACAAUUCAAAUUAUAUGAAACUUUAAUAGAAAAUUCUACUUAACAUCAAUAACAAGAUCAAUACUUCUGAUUUGAAAUUUAAAUUUUUUAUUACUAUUUUUUAAAAAAAAUUUUAUUUUCAGCCAUUCAUUUUCAAGCGAAUCGUUAACUAGGCAAAUGAAAUCAAAAAAUUAUAAAAUUUAAUUCCUAGUUUGUUCCAAUAGCGUAGAUCAUGUCUAACGAAAUCGAUCACUGAUCAGAUGUCCCAUCCUAGAAAACAGCUUAUAAGGAUAGAGGGCUAUGUACUUUCGAAAGUACCAAGCGCUUGGUGCUAUCGAGUUUUCCGUCAUUAGAUCUAUCUCUUUGACCAUUUCACCUGUUAGAUCAUACUAUUCAACCAACAACCCACUCAAACUUAAAAAACAACUAUAAUCCAAAACGAGAAUCACUAUUAUCCUAACUGCACAUACUUUCAUUCGAGGGCCAAACCUAAUAGCACCAGGCCCUUCGUACUAUUAAUAGCGUGUGUGUGUGCGCGCAUAUAUAUAUAUAUAUAUAUAUAUAUAUAUAUAUAUAUAUAUAUAUAGAAAGAGAGGGGUGAGAGAGUCUGGGUAUUAUAUUAUAUAUCAAUAGUACCAAGCUCUUGAUAUUAUCGAGUUUUCUACCAUUAAAUCUACUGCUUGAUCAUUUUCACCCGUUAUAUUAUACUAUUCAACCAAUCACCCCUCAGCCCUAGUAGACCACUAUCAUUCUAACCGCACAUCCUUUCAUCCAACAGCCGAAAACUCAAUAGCACCAAGCACUUGCUACAAUCGAUAGUAUAUAUAUAUAUAUAUAUAUAUAUAUAUAUAUAGAGAGAGAGAGAGAGAGAGAGAGAGAGAGAGAGAGAGAGAGAGAGAGUCCGGCUGCUAUACUAUUGAUAGUGCCAAUCCCUUGGUACUAUUGAUAGUAUAGUAGCAUAUAUAUAUAUAUAUAAUUAAGUUACUAUACUACAAAUAUUACUAAGCACUUGAUGCUAUUAAAUUUUCGAUCGUUGGAUGAAGAGAUGUGCCGUUAGGAUGAUAACAGUCUCAUGUUAGGAUGAUAGUGGUUCCCUAGUGUUGAAUCGGUGAUUGGUUGAAUAGUAUUAAUCUAACGGGUGAAAAUGGUUAAAACGGGAGAUCUAACAAUGAAAAACUCGAUAGCACCAAGCAAUUGGUACUAUCGAUAGUAUUUUCAGCUUUAGUCCUCUACAAUUGAAUUUUGAAUUUCAAAGUUGAUUUUUGCGUUAAUUUCACAUCAAAACGUCUCCAACUCAGUCACGUAUGGUAGAAAAUACUGUCAAAAAAAUUAUACUACAAUCUUUCCUAUUUAUUAAGACCCAAUAUAUCACACUAAUUAUAUAUGUAUUAACGAUACUUCAUUAUUUUUU